GAAGCAAGCCAGACCGCCGCUGGUGCAAGCAUGGAAACAUGGCACUGGAGGAAGGUCCGGACUGCAAAGAGCGGCGUAGCAGCUAACGGCUGUCCGGCGUGAGCCGAGGAUCAGAGCAACAGAGACGAGUCGAUCAAACGUGCGGGGCGCAAGCCUUGCGGGACUGGAAGCGCAGCCUCCAGGGUCGGGUGAAACGGGCAAUCUCUACGCGCAGCAACACCAAGUAGGCCAGUAUUGAUGCGGCUCGCAGAGCUGGCGGGUAGGUGGCACCGAGCCGGGCAGCGAUGCCCGGCCAAGAGGAAUGGCGGUCACGGCGCGGUCCUCGCAAGAGGGCUGUGCUGCACAGAAUCCGGCCUAUCGGCUUGCUUCACAC
rnacentral:RNase_P_RNA from 1 species